GCUGGUCUGAGAGGAUGACCAGCCACACUGGAACUGAGACACGGUCCAGACUCCUGCGGCAGGCGGCGGAGGGG
rnacentral:rRNA from 1 species